GACGAACGCUGGCGGCGUGCUUAACACAUGCAAGUCGAACGGAAAGGCCCUGCUUUUGUGGGGUGCUCGAGUGGCGAACGGGUGAGUAACACGUGAGUAACCUGCCCUUGACUUUGGGAUAACUUCAGGAAACUCGGGCUAAUACCGGAUAGGAUCUCCUGCUGCAUGGUGGGGGUUGGAAAGUUUCGGCGGUUGGGGAUGGACUCGCGGCUUAUCAGCUUGUUGGUGGGGUAGUGGCUUACCAAGGCUUUGACGGGUAGCCGGCCUGAGAGGGUGACCGGCCACAUUGGGACUGAGAUACGGCCCAGACUCCUACGGGAGGCAGCGGUGGGGAAUAUUGCACAAUGGGCGGAAGCCUGAUGCAGCAACGCCGCGUGCGGGAUGACGGCCUUCGGGUUGUAAACCGCUUUCGCCUGUGACGAAGCGUGAGUGACGGUAAUGGGUAAAGAAGCACCGGCUAACUACGUG
rnacentral:rRNA from 1 species